UUGAGGAAUAUUGGUCAAUGGGCGGGAGCCUGAACCAGCCAAGUCGCGUGAAGGAAGAAGGAUCUAUGGUUCGUAAACUUCUUUUGCAGGGGAAUAAAGUGCAGGACGUGUCCUGUUUUGUAUGUACCCUGAGAAUAAGGAUCGGCUAACUCCGUGCCAGCAGCCGCGGUAAUACGGAGGAUCCGAGCGUUAUCCGGAUUUAUUGGGUUUAAAGGGUGCGUAGGUGGUUUGAUAAGUCAGCGGUGAAAGUUUGCAGCUUAACUGUAAAAAUGCCGUUGAAACUGUCGGACUUGAGUGUAAAUGAGGUAGGCGGAAUGCGUGGUGUAGCGGUGAAAUGCAUAGAUAUCACGCAGAACUCCGAUUGCGAAGGCAGCUUACUAAGCUACAACUGACACUGAAGCACGAAAGCGUGGGGAUCGAACAGGAUUAGAUACCCCGGUAGUCC
rnacentral:rRNA from 1 species